rnacentral:rRNA from 1 species
AGUGCUAAGUGUUGGAGGGUUUCCGCCCUUCAGUGCUGCAGCUAACGCAUUAAGCACUCCGCCUGGGGAGUACGACCGCAAGGUUGAAACUCAAAGGAAUUGACGGGGGCCCGCACAAGCGGUGGAGCAUGUGGUUUAAUUCGAAGCAACGCGAAGAACCUUACCAGGUCUUGACAUCCUUUGACCACUCUAGAGAUAGAGCUUCCCCUUCGGGGGCAAAGUGACAGGUGGUGCAUGGUUGUCGUCAGCUCGUGUCGUGAGAUGUUGGGUUAAGUCCCGCAACGAGCGCAACCCUUAUUGUUAGUUGCCAUCAUUCAGUUGGGCACUCUAGCAAGACUGCCGGUGACAAACCGGAGGAAGGUGGGGAUGACGUCAAAUCAUCAUGCCCCUUAUGACCUGGGCUACACACGUGCUACAAUGGGAAGUACAACGAGUUGCGAAGUCGCGAGGCUAAGCUAAUCUCUUAAAGCUUCUCUCAGUUCGGAUUGCAGGCUGCAACUCGCCUGCAUGAAGCCGGAAUC